rnacentral:tRNA from 1 species
GCAGGUGGGGCUUAGUGGUUGAGCACCAGCCUAUGAACCAGGAGGUCACUGUUUGAGUCAGGGCACAUGCC